rnacentral:rRNA from 1 species
AGGACGAACGCUGGCGGCGUGGAUUAGGCAUGCAAGUCGCGCGACAGAUAUCCUUCGGGUUAUUAUGGAGCGGCGAACGGGUGAGUAACACGUGAACAAUUUGUCCCUACAUUCCGGAUAAUUGGCCGAAAGGCCUUGUAAUACGGGGGAGGGUCCUUGAGAGGCAUCUUUCGAGGAAGGAAGGCGCAAGCCGUGCGGGGAGAUGUUCGCGGCCUAUCAGGUAGUUGGUGAGGUAACGGCUCACCAAGCCGACGACGGGUAGCUGGU